rnacentral:rRNA from 1 species
GACGUAGGGGGCGAGCGUUGUCCGGAUUUAUUGGGCGUAAAGCGCGCGUAGGCGGCCGCGCAAGUCGGAUGUGAAAACCCGGGGCUCAACCCCGGGCGUGCAUCGAUACUGCGCGGCUCGAGACAGGUAGGGGAGAUCGGAAUUCCUGGUGUAGCGGUGAAAUGCGCAGAUAUCAGGAGGAACACCAGUGGCGAAGGCGACUACCUGGCCUGUUCUUGACGCUGAGGCGCGAAAGCUAGGGGAGCAAACGGG